UACCAGCACCCCGAGUGGUCGGGACGAUUAUUGGGCCUAAAGCAUCCGUAGCCGGCCUUACAAGUCCUCCGUUAAAUCCAGCUGCUUAACAGAUGGGCUGCGGAGGAUACUAUAAGACUAGGAGGCAGGAGAGGCAAGCGGUACUCAGUGGGUAGGGGUAAAAUCCGUUGAUCCAUUGAAGACCACCAGUGGCGAAGGCGGCUUGCCAGAAUGCGCUCGACGGUGAGGGAUGAAGCUGGGGGAGCAACCGG
rnacentral:rRNA from 1 species